AUGAACGCUAGCUACAGGCUUAACACAUGCAAGUCGAGGGGCAGCAUGGUCUUAGCUUGCUAAGGCCGAUGGCGACCGGCGCACGGGUGAGUAACACGUAUCCAACCUGCCGUCUACUCUUGGACAGCCUUCUGAAAGGAAGAUUAAUACAAGAUGGCAUCAUGAGUCCGCAUGUUCACAUGAUUAAAGGUAUUCCGGUAGACGAUGGGGAUGCGUUCCAUUAGAUAGUAGGCGGGGUAACGGCCCACCUAGUCUUCGAUGGAUAGGGGUUCUGAGAGGAAGGUCCCCCACAUUGGAACUGAGACACGGUCCAAACUCCUACGGGAGGCAGCAGUGAGGAAUAUUGGUCAAUGGGCGAGAGCCUGAACCAGCCAAGUAGCGUGAAGGAUGACUGCCCUAUGGGUUGUAAACUUCUUUUAUAAAGGAAUAAAGUCGGGUAUGUAUACCCGUUUGCAUGUACUUUAUGAAUAAGGAUCGGCUAACUCCGUGCCAGCAGCCGCGGUAAUACGGAGGAUCCGAGCGUUAUCCGGAUUUAUUGGGUUUAAAGGGAGCGUAGAUGGAUGUUUAAGUCAGUUGUGAAAGUUUGCGGCUCAACCGUAAAAUUGCAGUUGAUACUGGAUAUCUUGAGUGCAGUUGAGGCAGGCGGAAUUCGUGGUGUAGCGGUGAAAUGCUUAGAUAUCACGAAGAACUCCGAUUGCGAAGGCAGCCUGCUAAGCUGCAACUGACAUUGAGGCUCGAAAGUGUGGGUAUCAAACAGGAUUAGAUACCCUGGUAGUCCACACGGUAAACGAUGAAUACUCGCUGUUUGCGAUAUACUGCAAGCGGCCAAGCGAAAGCGUUAAGUAUUCCACCUGGGGAGUACGCCGGCAACGGUGAAACUCAAAGGAAUUGACGGGGGCCCGCACAAGCGGAGGAACAUGUGGUUUAAUUCGAUGAUACGCGAGGAACCUUACCUGGGUUUAAAUGGGAAAUGCCGUAUUUGGAAACAGAUAUUCUCUUCGGAGCGUUUUUCAAGGUGCUGCAUGGUUGUCGUCAGCUCGUGCCGUGAGGUGUCGGCUUAAGUGCCAUAGCGAGCGCAACCCUUGUUGUCAGUUACUAACAGGUUCCGCUGAGGACUCUGACAAGACUGCCAUCGUAAGAUGUGAGGAAGGUGGGGAUGACGUCAAAUCAGCACGGCCCUUACGUCCGGGGCUACACACGUGUUACAAUGGGGGGUACAGAGGGCCGCUACCACGCGAGUGGAUGCCAAUCCCCAAAACCUCUCUCAGUUCGGACUGGAGUCUGCAACCCGACUCCACGAAGCUGGAUUCGCUAGUAAUCGCGCAUCAGCCACGGCGCGGUGAAUACGUUCCCGGGCCUUGUACACACCGCCCGUCAAGCCAUGGGAGCCGGGGGUACCUGAAGUGCGUAACCGCGAGGAGCGCCCUAGGGUAAAACUGGUGACUGGGGCU
rnacentral:rRNA from 1 species